AGGGCGGGGGCUGCCCCCGCGCGCCACCUGAGGAGGGCGGCUCUGGCGAGGUGAAGGAAUCGUGAAGGGUCCUGGAGCUCCUCAGGGCUGAGUAAAGAAGAACUGGCCACAGGCCAUCUUGGACAUGUUGUGGAGAAUGAAAGAACACUGGAAUGACCCUUUUCUUUCUCUCCUGUUGUGAACCUCUUCACAUAUGAGAUAACCUAAUGUAAAGUCUAUAUAGCAGUCUGAAGCCAAUGGAAUAGUGAUGGUAAUUUUUAUAUUCAUGAGCGGGGAUGUGAAAGCUUACAGAAGAUAUGGUAUUCAUACACAAAGCUGGCUUAAGGUAUCUCAGAAGUGAAGGCAAAGUUGUGAUUCUCUGCUCUGAGGAUGAAGGCCAGGAUGGGAAAGCCAUUGCUGCUGUAGGGAGAGAAGCACUGAUGUGAGCCACCCUUCCUUCCCUCUCCAGGAAGAAAAUCUCUGAAGAAGCUGAAGUGAGGGAGGAUGAGCGAUUUUCUGAACUUCUGCAUAUUCAGUUACUGUUUUCUACAGGGAAAACUAUCACCAACAAGUAUGCCCUGACAGAAGUCUUACACCGAAGAAAACAAUGAUUUUUGGUCAAGGAGAUUUAAGAGAGAAACUGACACUCAAGUGGGGGAGGGAAAGGAGAACAUCAUCUACGCGUUUGGACAAAUUCAUCUUUCUGCCCGUCACUUCAUAUCCACGUCAAAGUCCAACACCAGCAGCUUUGUUUCCUCAGUCCCGUUGCGGCUCCCAACCGCACACACUAG